CAUGCAAGUCGAACGGAAAGGCCCUUUCGGGGGUACUCGAGUGGCGAACGGGUGAGUAACACGUGGGUGAUCUGCCCUGCACUUUGGGAUAAGCCUGGGAAACUGGGUCUAAUACCGGAUAGGACUACGCGAUGCAUGUCGUGUGGUGGAAAGCUUUUGCGGUGUGGGAUGGGCCCGCGGCCUAUCAGCUUGUUGGUGGGGUGAUGGCCUACCAAGGCGACGACGGGUAGCCGGCCUGAGAGGGUGACCGGCCACACUGGGACUGAGAUACGGCCCAGACUCCUACGGGAGGCAGCAGUGGGGAAUAUUGCACAAUGGGCGCAAGCCUGAUGCAGCGACGCCGCGUGAGGGAUGACGGCCUUCGGGUUGUAAACCUCUUUCAGCUCCGACGAAGCGCAAGUGACGGUAGGGGUAGAAGAAGGACCGGCCAACUACGUGCCAGCAGCCGCGGUAAUACGUAGGGUCCGAGCGUUGUCCGGAAUUACUGGGCGUAAAGAGCUCGUAGGUGGUUUGUCGCGUUGUUCGUGAAAACUCACA
rnacentral:rRNA from 1 species